rfam:Triticum urartu cultivar G1812 contig77668, whole genome shotgun sequence.
UUACUAUUCCCUCCGCCUGGAAAUACUUGUCCUAAAAAUAGUUGUAUUUAGACUUAUUUUAGUUAUAAAUACAUCUAUUUUAUCUAUUUCUAAGACAAGUAUUUUCGGACGGAGGAAGUAUUAU